rnacentral:rRNA from 1 species
UACGGGGGGGGCAAGCGUUGUUCGGAAUUACUGGGCGUAAAGGGCUUGUAGGUGGCCAACUAAGUCAGACGUGAAAUCCCUCGGCUUAACCGGGGAACUGCGUCUGAUACUGGAUGGCUUGAGUUUGGGAGAGGGAUGCGGAAUUCCGAGGUGUAGCGGUGAAAUGCGUAGAUAUCUGGAGGAACACCGGUGGCGAAGGCGGCAUCCUGGACCAACACUGACGCUGAGGAGCGAAAGCCAGGGGAGCAAACGGGG